rnacentral:rRNA from 1 species
UGGGGAAUUGUUCGCAAUGGGCGCAAGCCUGACGACGCAACGCCGCGUGGAGGAUGAAGGUCUUCGGAUUGUAAACUCCUGUUGCCAGGGACGAACAGCUUCGACCUAACACGUCGAGGUUUGACGGUACCUGGUGAGGAAGCCCCGGCUAACUCUGUGCCAGCAGCCGCGGUAAUACAGAGGGGGCAAGCGUUGUUCGGAAUUACUGGGCGUAAAGGGCGCGUAGGCGGCCUGCUAAGUCGAACGUGAGAUCCCUGGGCUCAAACCCAGGAACUGCGUCCGAUACUGGCAGGCUUGAAUCCGGGAGAGGGAUGCGGAAUUCCAGGUGUAGCGGUGAAAUGCGUAGAUAUCUGGAGGAACACCGGUGGCGAAGGCGGCAUCCUGGACCGGUAUUGACGCUGAUGCGCGAAAGCCAGGGGAGCAACGGGAUUAGAUACCCCGGUAGUCCUGGCCCUAAACGAUGAAUGCUUGGUGUGGCGGGUAUCGAUCCCUGCCGUGACCG